AGUAAAAGUCGUAACAAGGUUUCCGUAGGUGAACCUGCGGAAGGAUCAUUACCGAGCUCGUGCCCUUCGGGGUAGAACUCCCACCCUGUAUACCACACCUUUGUUGCUUUAGCGGGCCGCUGCGCCUGCACUACUGGCCACUGUGCGAGUAUGUGCCCGCUAGAAGCCCCUCAACCCGAACGUCCUGUGUCGUCUUGAAAACCAUAAAAUAGAUAAAACUUUCAGCAACGGAUCUCUUGGUUCUGGCAUCGAUGAAGAACGCAGCGAAAUGCGAUAAGUAAUGUGAAUUGCAGAAUUUAGUGAAUCAUCGAAUCUUUGAACGCACAUUGCGCCCCUCGGUAUUCCGAGGGGCAUGCCUGUUCGAGCGUCAUUAUCACCACUCAAGCUCGGCUUGGUCUUGGGCUACGCUGGCGACAGCGGGCCCUAAAUACAGUGGCGGUGUUACCAGGUCCUCAGUGCAGUACUUCUUCUCACUACAGGACCCGGUCAGCACUCGCCAACAGCUCCUCUCUAGGUUGACCUCGGAUCAGGUAGGAAUACCCGCUGAACUUAAGCAUAUCAAUAAGCGGAGGAAAAGAAACCAACAGGGAUUGCCUCAGUAACG
rnacentral:rRNA from 1 species